CCCAGCCCAAAGCAGCGGGCCACCAAUCAGCGAGCGUGCGAAGGGAACGUGGCUUGAACAGCAUGCAGCCAAUCAGAGAGGCACUGUGAGGUGAGCGCUCCCUCCCCGCCACAAAAUGUCGGCCAUCACAAAAUGGUGGCCGUCACAAAAUGUCGGCCCCCAGUGUGUUGCACGUGGAGGGACUUCCUGUUUCCAUGGACCACUGCAUAAGCUAAACGCAUAGGCCGGUUUGGGCUGCAUGGCACAGGCUGUCAUUGCAUGCUUCUUUUCAGGAGCCAUAUACACUGCUGGGUCUUAUCCACAGAUUCAGCCGUUUGCCCCUUGCUUUUUUGACUUUAUUGCUUAAAACAAUACUGCACACGUGCAGUACUGUUUCUGUGUUUUUAGAAAUGCAAAUAUGCAUAUCCGAUUACAGGUAAGCAAAAAAUGUAUACGUGUAUAUAAAUAGUGUGUCUGUGUAGAAAACCACUGUAUAUAUUUACACAUAUUUGCAUUUAUUUGUGGAUAUACAUACAAGUGUCUGUACACACACACACUGCACGUAUCGUAGAUAGGUAUUUUCACAUUUAGCGCUUCCCGGCCGAAAGGCAGCGGGCCACCAAUCAGUGGGUGAACACAGGGCACGUGGCUCGAACAGCACACAGCCAAUCAGAGAGGCACUGUGAGAUGAGCGCUCCCUCCCCGCCACAAAAUGUCGGCCCCCAGUGUGUUGCACGUGGAGGGAUUUCUUGUUCCCAUGGCAACUGCAUAAGCCAGACACAUAGGCCGGUUUGGGCUGCCAGUCACAAGAGAAGGCGUAACUGGGAGGAGGCAGGGGGGUUCUGCCUGCUGGAGGGUAAGACUGCUGAAAGGUUCUUGGAAGCCUGCGAGCAGUGACAGAGGCUGCUGGUGGCCUGCUGCAAGAGGUGUCUCGGUAACCCGCCCAAGCUUCUGGCUGAGCCAAGUCGUCUACAGUCAUCUCCAGGCAUUCGGGGUGGUUUCUGUCAAGUGAGUUUCAAGACGAGCCUGAGGAAUGUCUCUUGUAAGGCAAAGCCAAGGCUGCCAAAUGCCCCAUUUGUGGAGCAUGUUGCUGUCUGUGGAGCAUGUUCAGCUCGCUACAGAAUAAGAAUGCUUAGCACAGAAAGGAUUCCUUGCUUCCAAGCGGUGUUGAUCCUGUGUGGCUGGUGGCAAGGAGGACAGUGCUGGGAGCUCGAAGUAGUGCCUUCGACAGCUCUGCUCGUCAAUGCCAACGGCACUUCUGUUCCUUGGCAAAAGGAGCUGCACUUCCUUCUCCCAGAAGUGUUGUUGCAGAAGUUUGGCAGUGCAAGUGAGGACUUUUUCCUGCAAAUGCAAGGCAGUCUUGGCAGCAGCAGUUGAAAUUGUUUCUCAGGUGGUGCUACAGAGAGACGGACGUGCUAUGCUGGCCCUUUGCUGCGUUCCAGAGCUCUGCCGCUGCCAAUGUACUUGGGCAGUGGGGAUCUAACAGCAGAAGAGCACUCUUUGGCCAGCAUCUGGUGGCUGUAGGGAAGAUGGCGCACUGUGCAAGCAGAUCCAGUAGAGAAGGCCUGGUGAGGGAGUAUCUGUCCCUCUGGCUUUGUCAGAGAGGCAGCAUUCUCAGGAGAGAUACCAUGGACCUCAGGAGAUGGGUGAUUUAGUUGUUUUCCUCCUGGCACACUGUCGUUGGGCUAAGAAUACUAAAUACUAAAUACUAUUUAAUAUAAUAUUAAAUACUAAUACUAAAUACUGUCGUUGGGCUACGAAGGUUCUUUGACAGUUUCCUGCCACUGAGUUUUCCAAAAGUCUGGCUGUUUUAUUUUUUAUUUUUCCCUCAUGUUAUGCAAUUUUUGCAGUACAGUCAUCCUGGGGAAUGGUUUUAAAUUAAAAGAGGGGAGAUUUAGAUUAGAGGCUAGGAGGAAAUUCUUCACUUAGAGGGUGGUGAGGCACUGGAACAGGUUGCCCGGGGAGGUUGUGGAUGCUCCACCCCUGGAGGUGUUCAAGACCAGGUUGGAUGAGGCCCUGAGCAACCUGAUCUAGUGGGUGGCAUGCCUGCCUAUGGCAGGGGGAUUGGAACAAGAUGAUCUUUGAGGUCCCUUCCAACCCGAGCCUUUCUAUGGUUCUAUGAUUCUGUGAUUAACCGUGUGUUUGGCCUGAAUGACCCCAAAGCACCGAGGAUCUCUGUUUUUACCGCUGUACUUCAGUGCACAAAUAGGGCCUCUCUUAGGUAAAUACUAGCAAGGCUUCCCUCUGGGUGAGGUACUUGACAAGGCAGGGGAACAGUUUUUAAUCAUGCAGAUUUCCAUGAAUUCUGGCCUCCUAAAUUUCAGCAGUGGAGCCAGCUGUGGACUGACAUGCUUGUGGCAGAGCCAUUCUCCUUGUUAGAUCUUACCUCUUGAGCUCAAAAUUGUUUUUGUUACUUUGGUUCUUUAGACUAGCUUUCAAGAGCUACAGCUUAUGAGUGUAUCCUUUGAUUACUCAGUUUAGACUAACAUAUACCAGUUUCAUUUUUUCAUACUGCUUUUUGACAUAUGAAAGCAAACUUUAUUACGCUAAAUAACAGAGGACCAGGGCACAAAGUGGCUAUUUCGCACAUCAUCUUGUAAUUGUAGAUUAACUUGAAGGAGAAAAGAAGGUGGUCUCUUUUAGGUGUAGUUAAUAUAGCCAAGCAUAUUUUUACAUGUUAGUAAAAAAUAAUAAUUUGUCAAAGUCUUUCAACAGAAGAAGGAGACUGUGGCACUUAGGUAUGACAAACAACUUGUUCCUAGCUAUAUUUAGCAAAGUAAAAAUUCAUCUGGAAGAAGUCUCAGAUAUUGGAAAUUUGUUAAAGAGUAAUCAUAGAAUCAUAGAAUACCCUGAGUUGGAAGGACCCACAAGAAUCCACACAGGACCACCCAAUAAGCAGACCCUAUGUGAGAGUGCUGUCCAAAUGCUUCUUGAACUCCAGCAGACUCAGUGCUGUGACCAUGCCUUGGGGAGCCUGUUCCAGUGCCCGACCACCCUCUCGGUGAAGAAUCUUUUCCUAACACCCAGCCUGAACCUCCCCUGUCACAGCUCCAUGCCGUUCCCUCGGGUCCUGUCGCUGUCCCCAGAGAGCAGAGAUCAGCGCCUGCCUCACUGCUCCCCCUUGGGUGGAAAUCGGAGGCUACGAUGAGGUCUUCCCUCAGCCUCCUCUGCUGUAGGCUGAACAAACCAAGUGACUUCAACUGCUCCUCAUACAUCUUGCCCUCUACACCCUUCAUCGUCUGCAUAGCCAUCCUUUGGACACUCUCUGAUAGGUUUGAGUCCUUUUUAUAUUGGGGUGCCCAAACCCACAUAUGAUACUCAAGCGGAGUCUGCACCAGCAGAGAUUAGAGCGGCACAAUCCCUUCCCGCAACAUUCUGAUUGUGAAUUCUGAUGGUGAAUCUGGGUGGCAACAUUGCCAGUUGUCUGCUUG